GUACUCACUUAGCACAUACUAAAAUUGAAAAAAAUAGAAAAAAUUAGUGUGGGACCUGCACAAGAAUAACACGCAAAUUUGUGAAGCACUCCAUAUUUUU
ensembl:snRNA U6 U6 spliceosomal RNA